GGCAUUACUGCUGGAUAGCACAAAGGGUUUUCCGUUGGUGAUGAGGAGCGGUGUGAGGUCCCUGUCUUUCGUGAUUCUGUUCAUAAGUCAAGGUGUUUGUGGUCAGUGGUCGAGUGUCACUUACCAACAGGAGAGUGUCUGUGCCUUUGUGGGGC